UACAGAGGUGGCAAGCGUUGUUCGGAAUUACUGGGCUUAAAGGGCGCGUAGGCGGCUCGACAAGUCCCGCGUGAAAGCCCCCGGCUCAACUGGGGAACUGCGGGGGAAACUGUCGGACUUGAGUUCGGGAGAGGGAAGCGGAAUUCCGGGUGUAGCGGUGAAAUGCGUAGAUAUCCGGAGGAACACCGGUGGCGAAGGCGGCUUCCUGGACCGACACUGACGCUGAGGCGCGAAAGCUAGGGGAGCAAACGGG
rnacentral:rRNA from 1 species